GACGAACGCUGGCGGCGUGCCUAAUACAUGCAAGUAGAACGCUGAAGGAGGAGCUUGCUCUUCUGGAUGAGUUGCGAACGGUUGAGUAACGCGUAGGUAACCUUCCUGGUAGCGGGGGAUAACUAUUGGAAACGAUAGCUAAUACCGCAUAAGAGUAGAUGUUUCAUGACAUUUACUUAAAAGUUUCAAUUUCAUCACUACCAGAUGUCCCUUCGUUGUAUUAGCUAGUUGUUGGGGUAACGGCUUACCAAGGCGACGAUACAUAGCCGACCUGAGAGGGUGAUCGGCCACACUGGGACUGAGACACGGCCCAGACUCCUACGGGAGGAAGCAGUAGGGAAUCUUAGGCAAUGGACGGAAGUCUGACCGAGCAACGCCGCGUGAGUGAAGAAGGGUGUCGGAUCGUAAAGCUAUGUUGUAAGAGAAGAACGAGUGUGAGAGUGGAAAGUUCACACUGUGAAGGUAUCUUACCAGAAAGGGACGGCUAACUACGUG
rnacentral:rRNA from 1 species